UAGUGUUACAGCUUUUUAAAAAUCUGUCUAGCAGAUUUUCUGGGGUUUUUUUCUGGAAAACCCCC
ensembl:snRNA U7 U7 small nuclear RNA